UACGUAGGGUGCAAGCGUUAAUCGGAAUUACUGGGCGUAAAGCGUGCGCAGGCGGUUUUGUAAGUCUGUCGUGAAAGCCCCGGGCUCAACCUGGGAAUUGCGAUGGAGACUGCAAGGCUAGAAUCUGGCAGAGGGGGGUAGAAUUCCACGUGUAGCAGUGAAAUGCGUAGAGAUGUGGAGGAACACCGAUGGCGAAGGCAGCCCCCUGGGUCAAGAUUGACGCUCAUGCACGAAAGCGUGGGGAGCAAACAGG
rnacentral:rRNA from 1 species